rnacentral:tRNA from 1 species
AAGCAAGAAGCAAAUUAUUGCGUUUAGUUUCGACCUAAAAAAAAUGACUCUUAGUCCCUGCUUU